GGUUUUUUUGGUAGUAACUUGCAUCUUGUUUUUUUAAUAAGGUAGAAUAAUACUAAUAAUGGGAAAAUUCCGGGAACACAAGCAGUAUUCCAGCAGGUAAAGUAUCUUUGCUACUCUUUUAAAAUGACACCCGAUCUUCUAUACACACUGGACCCUCAGGUGUGUACCAAAAAGAAACUAGGAAUCAGAGGGACAUUCCUCAAAUGUACGUACAUAGUCAUUCUCUAUCCCAUUAAAAGCUCUUCCAUUUUUUUUUCCUUCUACAGGAUGCACGUAAUUGCUAGUGGAGCAGCGUCUUGGGCUCUUCAACUUCUCUUCUUUCUUCUUAAUUUCCAGUUGGAGAGUGCCUCCUUCAGCGUGCCCAGCAUCGCCUAUUGCAUCCCGAACCAUCUCACAUUCUCACACCACAAGUGAGUCUCCACCAUACAAUGUAGGAGGAGGUGGUUCACAUCUUCACCUGAACAUUUGCAUAUGAAGCACCAGUUGACAUAUGAAAAUUGUAAUCCUUCUUUUCCACAAAACAUCAGCUAUCAAUAUAUUUUCCCUCGCUGUUGUACUUUUUGCAUCUCGGUGAUAAGUUGAAUUCUUUGUUAAGAUCAUGUCUUGAAACUGUUCUUAAUUGUUAUACAUGUUCCACAGUUCCUGC
rnacentral:lncRNA from 1 species